CCAGCAGUCUCUAAACGUGAAGAAGAAAUCCCCCCAAUAACGAGACAGAAGCUCCGCAUUGAGGGUCAAACAGGAUCUGGCUUUACUGUGGGCUACCUGCCCGUAUUUAUGCAGGUCUCCCACUUGGUGGACACUCCCCCAGGGGACCAAAUGGGAGACUUAAAUGACAGACAGAUAUGGGGACAUUCCAGACACACAGUCACAGAUUUUACCCACAGUGCAUUAU